GUGUGUUCCAGGUAAAUCCGGUUCACUUUAACACUGAGGCGUGAUGACGAGGCACUACGGUGCUGAAGCAACAAAUGCCCUGCUUCCAGGAAAAGCCUCUAAGCAUCAGGUAACAUCAAAUCGUACCCCAAACCGACACAGGUGGUCAGGUAGAGAAUACCAAGGCGCUUGAGAGAACUCGGGUGAAGGAACUAGGCAAAAUGGUGCCGUAACUUCGGGAGAAGGCACGCUGACACGUAGGUGAAGUGAUUUACUCACGGAGCUGAAGUCAGUCGAAGAUACCAGCUGGCUGCAACUGUUUAUUAAAAACACAGCACUGUGCAAACACGAAAGUGGACGUAUACGGUGUGACGCCUGCCCGGUGCCGGAAGGUUAAUUGAUGGGGUCAGCGCAAGCGAAGCUCCUGAUCGAAGCCCCGGUAAACGGCGGCCGUAACUAUAACGGUCCUAAGGUAGCGAAAUUCCUUGUCGGGUAAGUUCCGACCUGCACGAAUGGCGUAAUGAUGGCCAGGCUGUCUCCACCCGAGACUCAGUGAAAUUGAACUCGCUGUGAAGAUGCAGUGUACCCGCGGCAAGACGGAAAGACCCCGUGAACCUUUACUAUAGCUUGACACUGAACAUUGAGCCUUGAUGUGUAGGAUAGGUGGGAGGCUUUGAAGUGUGGACGCCAGUCUGCAUGGAGCCGGCCUUGAAAUACCACCCUUUAAUGUUUGAUGUUCUAACGUGGACCCGUGAUCCGGGUUGCGGACAGUGUCUGGUGGGUAGUUUGACUGGGGCGGUCUCCUCCUAAAGAGUAACGGAGGAGCACGAAGGUUGGCUAAUCCUGGUCGGACAUCAGGAGGUUAGUGCAAUGGCAUAAGCCAGCUUGACUGCGAGCGUGACGGCGCGAGCAGGUGCGAAAGCAGGUCAUAGUGAUCCGGUGGUUCUGAAUGGAAGGGCCAUCGCUCAACGGAUAAAAGGUACUCCGGGGAUAACAGGCUGAUACCGCCCAAGAGUUCAUAUCGACGGCGGUGUUUGGCACCUCGAUGUCGGCUCAUCACAUCCUGGGGCUGAAGUAGGUCCCAAGGGUAUGGCUGUUCGCCAUUUAAAGUGGUACGCGAGCUGGGUUUAGAACGUCGUGAGACAGUUCGGUCCCUAUCUGCCGUGGGCGCUGGAGAACUGAGGGGGGCUGCUCCUAGUACGAGAGGACCGGAGUGGACGCAUCACUGGUGUUCGGGUUGUCAUGCCAAUGGCACUGCCCGGUAGCUAAAUGCGGAAGAGAUAAGUGCUGAAAGCAUCUAAGCACGAAACUUGCCCCGAGAUGAGUUCUCCCUGAGACUUAGAGUCUCCUGAAGGAACGUUGAAGACGACGACGUUGAUAGGCCGGGUGUGUAAGCGCAGCGAUGCGUUGAGCUAACCGGUACUAAUGAACCGUGAGGCUUAACCUU
rnacentral:rRNA from 1 species